GUCCACGCCUUAAACGAUGUAUGCUAGACCGGUGCGGUUUUGACGCCGUAUCGGUCGUAGGAAACCGAUAAGCAUACCGCCUGGGGAGUACGGUCGCAAGGCUAAAACUCAAAUGAAUUGACGGGGGCUCACACAAGCGGUGGAGCAUGUUGCUUAAUUCGAGGCAACGCGAAGAACCUUACCUGGGCUUGACAUGCUGGUAUUAACCCUAUGAAAGUAGGGCCACAGUCGCAAGACCGGAACCAGCACAGGUGCUGCAUGGCUAUCGU
rnacentral:rRNA from 1 species